GGGCGGGCUCCACUCGUGAACAUGUAGGGCUAACCUCAAGGCUAACCAACCAUCCGCGACCAAGCAUCCAGAGCCUAGGUCGCACCAGAGGGAGGCCUCAACGAGCAAGGCUAACACCAACCAUCCGCGCCGCGCCGCGCCCAAGUAUCCAGAGCCUAGGUCGCGGCAGAACAUAGGAUAAGAUAAGCAUACUCCUUGGAGCUGAUCCUAUCCUAAAUUAAUCCCAAACAAACAAACCAUUGUGGUGGAUCCGUCCCAAACUAAUAGGCAUUAUUCCUUAGUUAGACUGCAAAAUCAAUCCCAAACGAACCAAAGAGUUUACCACAUACUUACUUAAGAAGUUGACACGGACAGCGCUAAAACCCGCCCCGUUUUAACCUCCGUAAAACACCUACUUUCUAACCCCCUUUACGAUCUAGGUGAGCUUUGGCUCGUUUAGGUACCUAGUUUUAGUUGUUUUGAAGUAGUAUGGUUGUUUAGUGUUUUUUUUAACCAACCACCCCUUUAAAGCUUAAUCCUGCUUUUUGUUGUUUUAGUUCGAUCUUUUGCUUAUAAUUAAACCUACCUUAAGUACGAUACAACAAGCUAAAGUCACAUAAUUAAAAAAAUAGUUGAUAAACCUUAAGUACAAGAUCGAGACAAACCUAUUCAUUGUUAUAAAAAACCCUAGGAUUUUAUAAAUACGUGUCGUGAAUUGGACGUCGACGACUAAUUACAACAUCAGUAUACACGACGAAAGGUCGACCAUCGUCGUUGACAAGACGACGUCAGGCGGUUUUCCUUUUCUACCAGAUGUUUUAGGUGAGGGUACGGGUUUAGGUUCGGGACGUCCGGGCGAGGCUACUCGACCCGGUGAGGUUACUCGUGUACGAACACUUCGAACAGAGAGACCUCAGCCACGCGUAUCGCACGCUCAGCAUACUUGAGGAGACGGGCGACUACUACCUCAGCAGGACCUUUACGGGCCUCGACCUUUAGGAGAGCCAGCACCGUCCGAACAGCGACCUUUAGGUUUUCGAGCUCGUAGUAGACAAUGGGGUCGAGUACCAAGUCCUCCGGUUCGACCUUGCCCCGCGGGACCUUCGGUAGGAUGAGCACUUCUUGAGUCGUUAAUUCGAGAAUGUAGACUUAUUCACGAAAUUCCUUCGGAACCCGUAUAGAGCAAAGCUCCUCCUAGGCCAGUGUUUAGUACAGCUAGACGACUCGUAUAACGAUUUCCUAUACCGACAAGGACAUGAACUUUUAUUAACGCCGCCACUGACCGAUUUCGGCGCACAGGGCUACGACCAGGUCGUCCAGUGGGUACACAACCUCUAGGGCCAAGCAAAGACAAUAAGACUACUCAUCUGAAUAGUCGGUCGAGCUCCGACAACACUACUCAUAAAGAAUCCCCGCACCGUUUGUCAAAUCUUGGUUGGGAAAUACAAACAUACAUUUCCUAAAAUUUACUAUACAUAGAACCCAUCACAAAAGAGUAAGACACGAUCCCAUGUUGAACGUUAAUGAAA
rnacentral:rRNA from 1 species